rnacentral:rRNA from 1 species
AUUGAACGCUGGCGGCAUGCUUUACACAUGCAAGUCGAACGGUAACAGGCCUUCGGGUGCUGACGAGUGGCGAACGGGUGAGUAAUGCAUCGGAACGUACCCAGAGGUUGGGGAUAACGCAGCGAAGGCUGUGCUAAUACCGCAUGUGAUCUGAGGAUGAAAGCGGGGGACCGAGCAGCAAUGUUUGGCCUCGCGCCUUUGGAGCGGCCGAUGUCGGAUUAGCUAGUUGGUGGGGUAAAGGCCUACCAAGGCGACGAUCCGUAGCUGGUCUGAGAGGACGACCAGCCACACUGGGACUGAGACACGGCCCAGACUCCUACGGGAGGCAGCAGUGGGGAAUGUUGGACAAUGGGCGCAAGCCUGAUACAGCAAUGCCGCGUGCGGGAAGAAGGCCUUCGGGUUGUAAACCGCUUUUGGCAGGAACGAAACGGUGUCCGCUAAUACCGGGCGCUAAUGACGGUACCUGCAGAAUAAGCACCGGCUAACUACGUG